GACAGCCCUCUUAGCUCAGGGGCAGAGCGCAUCACUAGUACUCGUACAAACAUAUGAUGAGGUCAUUGGUUCGAAUCCAGGUUUGUCA
rnacentral:tRNA from 1 species